rnacentral:rRNA from 1 species
CCUACUGGUGGCAGCAGUGGGGAAUAUUGGACAAUGGGCGAAAGCCUGAUCCAGCCAUGCCGCGUGUGUGAAGAAGGCCUUCGGGUUGUAAAGCACUUUCAGUGGGGAAGAAAGCCUUGGGGCUAAUACCCUCGAGGAAGGACAUCACCCACAGAAGAAGCACCGGCUAACUCCGUGCCAGCAGCCGCGGUAAUACGGAGGGUGCGAGCGUUAAUCGGAAUUACUGGGCGUAAAGCGCGCGUAGGCGGUCUGAUAAGCCGGUUGUGAAAGCCCCGGGCUCAACCUGGGAACGGCAUCCGGAACUGGCAGGCUAGAGUGCAGGAGAGGAAGGUAGAAUUCCCGGUGUAGCGGUGAAAUGCGUAGAGAUCGGGAGGAAUACCAGUGGCGAAGGCGGCCUUCUGGACUGACACUGACGCUGAGGUGCGAAAGCGUGGGUAGCAAACAGGAUUAGAUACCCUUGUAGUC